rnacentral:rRNA from 1 species
AAACGACUCUCGGCAACGGAUAUCUCGGCUCUCGCAUCGAUGAAGAACGUAGCGAAAUGCGAUACCUGGUGUGAAUUGCAGAAUCCCGUGAACCAUCGAGUCUUUGAACGCAAGUUGCGCCCGACGCCUUCUGGCCGAGGGCACGUCUGCCUGGGUGUCGCGC